UUUAAUUCAUUACUUUUCCCCACCUUUGGACCCUAUACAAUGUUAAUUAUAUCUAGCAUUUGAUAGUUAGUACAGUUUAUCAUCAUUUGUUUCCUUAUUCUGCCAUGUCUUGCAACCGGUUUUUUGUUUGGUUUGUUAUUAACUUGCGUUUUCAUUCGGUACCAGGGACUGAUAUUUAAACACAUGUAGUCCACAUUCCGAGGUGUUUCCAUAAAAUGAUUUGAAUGCAUUUUAGAUUUCUGUGUUAUCUUGAUCAUCCUUUCGUAAUAUUGAAUCAAUCAGUUUUUUUCUGUUUUCCUUUGUAUCACGGAUGUCACACACAUUGCAGUGUUGCAAUUCUGCUUUUUACUGAAGCUGGAAUGGAUUUGGCUGUCAUAAAUUUUCUCAGUUUCUCUCGUCUGCUUUUUCCACGUUUUCGAAAAAUUAAACAUUCAGGUCUGGGAUAAGGGGGACUGAUUAACUGUGGUUUUUUGUUUUUCCAAAAAACAUUAUGUCUGUAUGUAAUUCAUUGUUUUGGUUUUGCAUCUGCCUUUGUUAAUGGUUAAUUGCUAAACUGUUUGCGUUGAUCCAUAUUCGUAGACUGGUUUGUUUUUUGUUGUUGUUGUUCUUGAUGAGUUAUUUCUCUUUGUGUAUUGUUUGGUAUUUUAUGUUUCGAAGUAAUAUUUUAUGUACUUGUAUUUUAAUUGAAUUUUCUUGCCGUUUUUGUUAAAAACUUUAAAAAAUCAAUUUAAAUAUCGUUUCCUUUUACUUUUGUUAUUACUUAUUAUUCUUAUAUUUCUUCUUUAAAAAUUGUAUUUAAGGCCAUUCCUGUUCUGAAUUGUAUGUCUUCUUGGAAAGAAACACUUGUAAAGGAAAGUCAAUGUAAACAUAACCUGACGAAUGGAACUGAAACUUUUGUUUGAUAUUAUUGAUUGAUUUUAUGUAGAUAAAGCUGAAAAGUUAUACGAACAGAAAGAAGAAAAGAGUGCUCCAGAAAACUAUUUUUGACGAAAUAUAAAAUUCUUCGUGUUUAGACAGUGAGAGUUAAGCCACAAACUGAAAGCUAACAAUUCAGAACAGUAGUUUCGAUUAGGAGUUUUCUUCUAUUAAAAUUAUAACAGUGCACAAUAAUUAAGUGAUGCGACGUUCCAGUGUUGCCAGAGAUCGCCAGCGACGAGCGAGAAUUGCCCGUUAGAGAGCAACAA